AUAAAAAAAUCCCUGUAGCAAAAAUACUACAGGGUCCUUCUAACCAACUAAUAGGCAGAAGGUAAAGGGAGAGGAGAAACCGGAGGAAGAACUUAUGGGGAAACGUAAGUCUUCUCCGCG
rnacentral:ncRNA from 1 species